GACGAACGCUGGCGGCGUGCUUAACACAUGCAAGUCGAACGGAAAGGCCCUGCUUUUGUGGGGUGCUCGAGUGGCGAACGGGUGAGUAACACGUGAGUAACCUGCCCUUGACUUUGGGAUAACUUCAGGAAACUGGGGCUAAUACCGGAUAGGAGCUCCUGCUGCAUGGUGGGGGUUGGAAAGUUUCGGCGGUUGGGGAUGGACUCGCGGCUUAUCAGCUUGUUGGUGGGGUAGUGGUUUACCAAGGCUUUGACGGGUAGCCGGCCUGAGAGGGUGACCGGCCACAUUGGGACUGAGAUACGGCCCAGACUCCUACGGGAGGCAGCAGUGGGGAAUAUUGCACAAUGGGCGGAAGCCUGAUGCAGCAACGCCGCGUGCGGGAUGACGGCCUUCGGGUUGUAAACCGCUUUCGCCUGUGACGAAGCGUGAGUGACGGUAAUGGGUAAAGAAGCACCGGCUGACUACGUG
rnacentral:rRNA from 1 species